rnacentral:ncRNA from 12 species
AGAUUUUGAGGUGGAAAAGAUUUCCCAUGCGCUUACUUUUAGUAAAUUAUCAGAAAUGCAGGAUACGCUGACCUGCAAAAGUAU